rnacentral:misc_RNA from 1 species
GAUGAAGAACGCAGCGAAAUGCGAUAAGUAAUGCGAAUUGCAGAUCUCCGUGAGUCAUUGAAUCUUUGAACGCACAUUGCGCCCGCCAGUAUUCUGGCGGGCAUGCCUGUCCGAGCGUCAUUUCAACCCUCGAACCCCUCCGGGGGGUCGGCGUUGGGGAUCGGCACUUACCUGCCGGCCCCGAAAUACAGUGGCGGUCUCGCCGCAGCCUCUCCUGCGCAGUAGUUUGCACACUCGCACCGGGAGCGCGGCGCGUCCACGGCCGUAAAACAACCCAAACUUCUGAAAUGUUGACCUCGGAUCAGGUAGGAAUACCCGCUGAACUUAAGCAUAUCAAUAAGCGGAGGA